ACGAACGCUGGCGGCGUGCCUAACACAUGCAAGUCGAACGGAGUGUUGCGCUGAAAUUGAGAUUAGCUUGCUAAAGGAUAUUUCUUGCAACACUUAGUGGCGGACGGGUGAGUAACGCGUGAGGAACCUGCCUUACAGAGGGGGACAACAGUUGGAAACGACUGCUAAUACCGCAUGAUGUGGAGGGGAGACAUCUCCCUUUCACCAAAGGAGCAAUCCGCUGUAAGAUGGCCUCGCGUCUGAUUAGAUAGUUGGUGGGGUAACGGCCUACCAAGCCGACGAUCAGUAGCCGGACUGAGAGGUUGAACGGCCACAUUGGGACUGAGACACGGCCCAGACUCCUACGGGAGGCAGCAGUGGGGGAUAUUGCACAAUGGAGGAAACUCUGAUGCAGCAACGCCGCGUGAGGGAAGAAGGUUUUCGGAUUGUAAACCUCUGUUUUUAGUGAAGAAACAAAUGACGGUAGCUAAAGAGGAAGCCACGGCUAACUACGUGCCAGCAGCCGCGGUAAUACGUAGGUGGCAAGCGUUGUCCGGAAUUACUGGGUGUAAAGGGUGCGCAGGCGGGAUUGCAAGUUGGAUGUGAAAUACCGGGGCUUAACCCCGGAGCUGCAUCCAAAACUGUAGUUCUUGAGUGGAGUAGAGGUAAGCGGAAUUCCGAGUGUAGCGGUGAAAUGCGUAGAUAUUCGGAGGAACACCAGUGGCGAAGGCGGCUUACUGGGCUCUAACUGACGCUGAGGCACGAAAGCAUGGGUAGCAAACAGGAUUAGAUACCCUGGUAGUCCAUGCUGUAAACGAUGAAUGCUAGGUGUGGGGGGACUGACCCCUUCCGUGCCGGAGUAAACACAAAA
rnacentral:rRNA from 1 species